UAGGGAAUCUUCCACAAUGGGCGCAAGCCUGAUGGAGCAACGCCGCGUGUGUGAUGAAGGCUUUCGGGUCGUAAAGCACUGUUGUAUGGGAAGAAAUGCUAAAAUAGGGAAUGAUUUUAGUUUGACGGUACCAUACCAGAAAGGGACGGCUAAAUACGUGCCAGCAGCCGCGGUAAUA
rnacentral:rRNA from 1 species